AAGAAAAGCUUUUGUUUUCUGUUAUUUUACAGAAUGCCAUUCUGACACAACUGCGCUUCUUCUGGGACCUGUGCUAUGUAAACAGAUCCUUGUUGUCCUGAAGGACGUACCCAAGUCUCCCAUCUUUAAGACACACUCGACUCUCCUGCCUUUAAGAUAAGGUAAUAAUAUUUUACUGACAAACAAGAAUAGAAAGGAAAAAUUAACAAAUAUUUGUGCUAUUGUACUGCUUGAGCAUCUGAAUAGACUGGCAGAUCUUACCUGCUCUUCUCUCUUCAAGCUAGUGACAGACCACGGCAUGGCAUCUUUGAUUUUCCAUCUCUCAGCCUCCAACAGCACCUGUCAGCCGCCCAUCUGUUGGAGAGAAAACCCAUUUGGCUUCCCUCUGUUGUUAUUUAAGGAAAGGGACCGCAAGUUCUUGCAUCAUUCAGAAGCCUGAGUUCCGUGGGAAACCAUCAGGGUUUGAUUCUUAACUCACACCACAGACAGGAUGUGAGAGCAAGAAGGUCUGGAGGAAUGAACCAUAGCUGAGGAGAACCAAAACCACUAAGGGCUUCUGUGGCUUUCUCACUGCUCCAUGGGGAGUAGGAAGGAUGAGUCAUGAGGCGUGAAAAUCCGCUUGUUCAUGGGACUGUGGGAUACCUGAUGCCCCUAAAUAAAUCAAUGUUCCACGGAAACCAUGGCCAUACUCUGGAGCAAAACAUCUAGCCUAACAUAGUGCUCAGGAGAACUCUCUGUGGCAGGGACAGGGCACCCCACUGGUGCCAGCCUAUCUCCCGGUGGCCUUGGCCUUCAGACAGGUCAGCAAUGACUAUAUGCUCCUCCGAGUCUCCAGGUCUGGCCUAGAGGACAUGGAUAGAGGUGGAGCAGCAGUCCCAUGUUCCCAGCCUGCACCAGUGACCAGUGGAGAGGUCGCCAGCAGGGACAGCUGGCCAAAUCCAUUCAAUCCAGGUAGCUCUGCCUGGCUCCUAGUGGGAACCUGGAGAACACCAAGGAACAAGAUCUCCCUGAAAGUCCUGUCCUAUUGCUCCACAGGGGUUGGCCUGGGCCUCUCGCUCAGACUUACCAGCUCUACCUCAUUUCUCUUCGUGUAGGUGAGUUGAGUUACUCAAGAGCCCGAGUGCGUGUGAUGCUCUUCAGUGGAAGGAGCACAGGAGGGCAGUUCCCUUCUGAAUAUGAGCAAAGAGCUUUAUCAUGGCUUAUGAUUACAAAAAGUGAGAGAAAUAUGGCAAUAGAUCAGGAAAUGUUAGGUGAUGGUCCAGCAGAAAAGGGCAAACCCAAUUAAGUUUGUAGGAAAUUAUAAAAUUAUGGAGUUAUCUAGAGAUUUGGUGUACAGAGAGCAGAAAGACAGGUGUAGGGCUUGGGGGAGAUGAGUCUGGGCUAGCUGCAGGGUGUCCAAGAAGGAACAUUAUCAGAACAACAGAGAUAUCUUAUGGUAGAAAAUAUUUCAAACAAUACAAAAUCUUUAGAAACAAUAAAGCAGAGUCACUUAAUACACGGUUAAAGAUCUGGUUUUGUGGCCCUUGUAUUUAGAUCUGUCCCUAAAACUCGAAUUACUGUGCUGUUUGAUGAUGGUGCUUUGAAAAUCUCACGUAUAUUCUACAGCAUAAUUAGUCUAAAAUACAUUUUUCUCAUUCUUCUUCUGCCUCCUAGGUUUUGUAACCUGCGUGUUUACUCUGCAUCAAGCAAGAUCAGAGUCAAACCCCUGGAUGUGGUGGUGCCUUUCACCACAUUCUUCCUUUAGUCUUUGAUUUUUUCUUGUCUUUUCCCCCCCAUCCCUGACAGGAAAAGCACUGUUCUUUCCAUGCUCCUUGUCUCUGUUUGAAGCAGUCAUAGAAAAAGUGACAAUUAGGAAAUAAAGAACCUACAGUAUCUGCUUUGGCAGGGGCAGCACAUCCCAUUGCUGAGCAGCACCCAGUCAAACCAGUGACUGCCUGAUGGGGUCAGACGGAGGUAUUACUGCCUCAUAUUCUUGGAUAUGCCUGGGAUAUCAUGGAGCGCUCCCACACUGCAGAAUGAGUAAUAAUCCAACAUUAAAGUCGAGCAAUACGCAUUUCAGGACGCUCAACUGCAAUUCGGAAAAUAACGCUGCUUAGGAGCAAAUGUCAGGGCCAGAUAACUUAUUAUUUGGGGUAUCAAGUAACCGUCUGGGGCAGCGUAACAGAUAUAAACUUUGGCCUUCCCGGAUUAUUUUUUUCUGCCAAAACGAUUAAAGGUUGCUAAGCAGUGUCAGUGUAUUUCCCCUAAACUGAGGGAGCGUAACAGAAGUGAAUGAGUUCACUGCAGUCAAACUGAACUUACAUCAAGCCUAAAUAUCAUCGCUAAUUAUGAUUUCUGUUCCCCAAAGCAUGCCAGGCACCUGAAAGAUUUAAUGAAAGCCAAGAUCCUUUCUUCAUGUCAUUUAGAGUGCAGAAGUCCUCUGGUUCAGCCCCCUCUCCAGGUCUUGUCAGGUGGUUGUAAGGCCCUGGUUCAGUGUUCAGGACUAAAUGCUGCCUCAAGCCCCUUUUUCCUUACCCUCUAGACCCCUUCCAACCAAAAUGAUUCUAUGAUUCUGUGAUCCUAUGAUUCUGUGAUUUCCUCUAUCCCAAACAAUAAAACAGAAAAUCUUAUCAAAGCACAACUUUAUGAAAGGGAAGGCACAGAGAGUGGGAAGAAAGAGAAGAUAACAUCCUAAACCAUGAAACGAGCCUCAUUUUCCCAAGGAUCUCACGCGAUAACAUCUCCCUCUUUAUUUUUAUGAGGCAGCAACCAGCCCCUUCCUCUCAACACAUCACUUUCAUGUUUUGUGGGACCUCCACCCUUUUGCCUAGGGGAGGGUUCUGGGUCUGAAGGUCCCCCUGGAGCUCCUGCUCUCCGCUAGUCCCUCUUGUCCCCUCUGGUCACCUCUCCCAUCUGCAGAGGACAUUCUCUGGUGCCUCCAUAGGUCCACAAGCAGAGAGAGAACCCAGAGAGCAAGACUUUCUGUGGAAAGAGGCAUUUCCCAAACAGGCACUUGGGAUCCCAAAGAGGCUCUUGGGACUAUGGUAGAGUGACAAAAGGAAUCUGGGACUGCGUGUGGAGGUGACAUGGCAAAACAGUGUUGUAGUAAAUAAGGGAGGGUCCAGGAUUAUAGGUGAGGACCUGAAAUUAAAAUCAUAGAAUCAUUCUGAUUGGAAGAGACCCUCAAAAUCAUCGAGUCCAACCAUAACCUAACUCCAGCACCAAACCCUGUUCCUAAGAACCUCAUCUACGUGCCUUUUUGUCCCCUCUCACCACUUGCAGGGUCACAAAAAGGAGUCUGUGGUGCACAGCAGAAAACAAUCAGUGGCACAGGGGCCAUCAGUGGUUGUUGAAGGUUCUCCAGGUGAGGACCAGCAGUGGAGACACUGAGUAACGUGGGGCUGGUGCUCACUCCUCCGCUGCAGCCAGCGCCGUGCAGUUCAUCUCUCCAGAUUUCCUAGUAUUUGUUCUCUUGUUCUGGGAAGCGGAGAGAGCUGCGAGAGGCCCAUCUCACAGGGAUGUUUAGAGAAAGGAAAGUCCAUUGUGCAAAAGAAUUUGGUAUUUCAGGGUUUGUUUUCCUUCUGACGCACAGAACAAAACACCACCGUGUCAAAACCUUCCAUAAGGCAAAACAGAAAAAAAAACAGAAAAACAAAAAAACAGACAACAAGCAGUGGUGUUCAGUUUGGAUGUGGUUUGUAGAACGGUUUUUCUUUGCUUUUUGGCUUCUCGCUCUCAGGAUGCCUGCUACUGCAGCUAUUUCAGGAAAACAAAUAAAAAGAAAAAAAAAAAGAAAAGAAGAGAAAACAAAAUCUACACCAGAGCAGAGAAGGGGAGUGGGAGCCUUUCCCCACACCAGGGCCUGACCUCACCUCGGUGGGUUUUGUGUGUGGUGGCACCAGGAUCAAAGCAUCUCCCCCCUUUCUGCCCUGGCUGGGAAGCAGAGCUGCAAAGGAGCCUCUGAGUUUUAAUUGGGAAAACCAGGGAACAGGCAGCACAGAGACCCUGCAAAGCAUCAGCAGAGUUGUUUUGCACCAGCUUUCUUUGAGCAGAAAGGCUCCUGCAAAGCAGUGAAGAAAUUUCAGAGAAGCUGGACAUGAGGGAUGGCUCCCAGCAACCAAACUGGUGGGAAGUCCCUGAUCCAGGCAACACUUUGGGUCAGACCCUCAGUGUUUUCUCCAUAUCCACAGCUCCCAGCCCAGCUUUCGCAUCGUCCCUGCUGGCCCUGCAUGGGCUCGUGUCUCUCCUCAUGCUUCCAGCCCCUGGGACUGUGAUAUUUUGUGGGUACCGGUUGCUUGGAUGAGUUUCCCCCGUGGGGCGACCCAGGGUGCCGAUGCCUUCAGCGACGGCAGAGAGCAGCUCACCACCACCUCUCUCCGCCAGCGUUUUCCGAGCUCUUGGCACGGCUCCCGGCCGCCUUUCACUGCUGCCUUUUCAUUCGCCUUAAUUCACUACGUUUCCUCUUCUUGCUCCUUGUGAGGAACAGAGGGAGAGCUUGUUCCAGCAGACGGGCCCCAUCCGCUCCACCCGGCUCUGCUUGGAGCGAGGGCUGGAAAAGAGGGAUGGAGGGAAGGGGUAUCAUCUCCCACCCCUCCGGGGCCCCGUGUGCCGCCUGCGUGCUGCUUUCCCAGCAAAUACGUCUGAGGCUCCCUGGGACAGGCUCUGCCAUGGCCAUGGCUGCUGCAACUGCUCCAACACCCACCUCCUGUCCCCGUUAGCCUCCCGCUCUCAUCAGCAGCUGCACAGCGAUGCCAACAGCCCCAUUUGCUCCGCGUGCAUCAUGCCUGAGUGCAAGUUGUACCCCACACAGCUUGGCAUCCAAAGCCUUGGGUGUCACAGGGUGGUGAUUCCUCUUCGUGCCCAGAUGGGGCACUGGGAUUAAAUAAUUUGCCAGGGAACCAGGGUAGGGUAACGAUCCCAGUCCCGAUGCCACGAGGCUGACGUUCCUCCCAGGAAGAGCCAAACCCUCCUGCAAGCAGAGCCUUGUCUGGAGCAGGGGACGGAUCCUGCUCGGCAUGGGGCUCAGCUCCCAUCUCACCCAGCCACACCACUUGUUUACUUUCUCUUGCAAAUGCCCUAAACCUUGACAAUGACCUAUUUUUUCCUCCUGUUGCGCAAAGCUUCUUUCCUAGAAAGAGGCUUUACAAUGCUCAGUCCAACCAGCCCAGCUCUCCUCUGUGUAUGGAAAAGCAAACUGUAAAUGACUGGCAGGCUUAGCUUAGCUCCAACACACCCAAAACCCACGGGCGGAUGAGUUGGAAGACUCGGUCAGAUGCUGCACGAAACCAUCCUGCAAGACUACCAGCCUGGUUUGCAGAGGAAUCAGAUAAGCUGGAUGGUGACAAAUGAUUAGGACACACUUAAAGGGCAGCAGUAUAUGUUCCACCACAUCAAGCCUUGUAUGCAGCUACCAGACAUCACACACACCAUGGAGGGAAAGAGGCACCUUGGAGGCACCGUACCUCAUCUGGUCCAUUUUGGAUUUCUGCUGGAAGAAGGGGCGAGUGUGUCCUGGCCUCCAUCAACUGCUCCAUCAGGAUUUCAACAGAUUCAGGUGCAGACUGUUCUGUGCCGGGUGCUGUGGAAGCAUACAAAUAAAUACGGUCCCUGCACUGGAGCUCGCCUCACCGCUUGACCGAGAGUAACUCAGGAUGGACCGGACCCAAAAAGGCUCUUCCUGGGCAGGGAAAUCAGCCCUGCAAUCCCCUGCGCUGUCCCGCUGGCCGGGGCUUGGCAGCGGGGGCUGCGGGCUGACAGCUGACGUCCUCCCGAGCCCGUUUCCUCCGGCUGCUGCCAAACCAUUCGCAGAGCACUCCUCAAAAUGAAUUUUCUGGAAAACAAAUUAAAGGAGGGGUUGCAUCACGCAGCAGACAGCGCAACCAGCGCUCAGCUGCAUGGACAAAUCCUGCCCGUAUUUUCUGGCCUGCGCUGCAUGCACCACAUUGCUCCCAGCUGCUGCGGCGCUGGAAUUUGCAGCUUGCCGUCUAAAUAUACUGUAACAAUAAACUGAUCAAAGCAGCUAAAUAUUAUUGUCUGCUCUCUGAUGGGCAGCGUGGAGUAUGGUCUCCCGGAAACCUCCGGUUGCUUUGUUUUUUCCCCUCUGCAAAACCACAGACAAACAAAAUCGAGGGGGUGGGGAUGGGGAAGCAAAGGAGACAUCGGUGGGCGUUCAGGCAGUGCAGUCAAGGUCUUGGGAGUCAGGAAAUUCCAGUCCCUGAAGGCUGCUGGUUGGAGCACGUGGAGGGCAGCGAUGGGUGGGAGGGAACAGGACAGGCUGCUGGGAAACAGUCCUGAGUUAGGCUGGGAUCUCAGUAGUGUGGGAUCCCUCCCCAGCACUGCCACAUCCUUACCAUGCAGCCUUGGGUACAUCUCUUGAGGUUGUUUGGUCAGGAAUCAUCAGUUAGUCUAGCUGAAGAUGUCCCUGCUCAUGGCAGGGGGUUGGACUAGAUGAGCUUUGGAGGUGACUUCCAACCCCAACUAUUCUAUGAUUCUAUGAUCAGGUGUGCCCAUCCAUUGAGAGCUUCCGUAAGAAACCCAGCAUGCCCCCAAACCCUUCCCCUGUGUGGAUACUGGUAAAUAAAAGAAGCAGGGAUGGGUUCACUGUGCCAGGGGCAGGACCUGCACUGGGACAGGGUUUGGGGUCUCCAGUCAAGCAGGUGCACUCAGUGCCCACUGCAAAUGGACUGUUCUAGAGCACAACUUUGCUUGUGUAAAACCUUCAGCCUUCCAUUGUCCCACAUAUAUCUUUAUUCAGGUGAGCUCAUCCAGGCUGCCACAGAAAACAAGCACUGCUACAAAUGCCUAGUCAUGAAUAAUCAUGCUGGCUAUUUUAAAAAAUUUUUUAUCCUUUGCUGGUUUUAAACAGCAGACUAUUCAUUUUAAAUGUUUUAUUCAGUCUCCAGUAGAGAGAUGAUGUAUAAGAGGUCAAGGGAGAUUGUUCCUCCCACUGUAGUCUGCCCUGCUGAGGCUGCACAUGGAGUUUUGUGUCCAGUUCUGGGCUCCCCAGUUUAAGAAGGACAAGGACUUACUGGAGGGAGUUCAGCACAGAGCUACAAAGAUGCUGAGGGGUCUGGAACAUCUUUCUUAUGAGGAGAGACUGAGAGAGCUGGGGCUGUUCAGCCUGGAGAAGAGAAGCUGAGAGGGGAUCUCAUCAAUGUUUAUAAAUAUCUCAGGGUGGGUGUCAAGAGGAUGGACCAGACUCUGUUCAGUGGUGCCCAAUGACAGGAUGAGGGGCAACGGGCACAGACUGAAACACAGGAGGUUCCAUCUGAAUA